GUCUGUUCUACCUAAUUGUCCACAGAACCUCACACUCUCUCCUAGAAAUCAAUUUUUUUUUCCUACUUCCUGCAGUUAUUGGUCAGUUACUUGUCUCAAAACUCAAGCAGCAAACUAGAUUCAAAACUAAUUUUCUGUGCCCGUGUAGUCUUAACAGCCAAGUCUGAGUUGUAUAAUUUUCUUGAGACUUUUAUUGCUCAUGAUAUGAUUACCUUUUGCUUUAUAUGCCAGUUCUUCCCAUAUCCUACUUUCUAAUAUGCUUAUGGUUAGUGCAUAUUAGUGAGUAGAAGGAUGCCUGUUUGUAUCUCUGUGUGAGCAUCUGCUAUUGGAGUUUAAACAUUGGAAUAAAUAUGUGUGUUCGUAAAGAGAUUUUUUUUUUUUUCCUUUGUAGCUGUAUGGAGGAUUAUAAGGAAGAAGAGAUGCACAUCUUUUUCCGGGAAAAAGAACACUAAUUAUCCAUGUGUAACAGAUGAGGAAACUGAGACACUGAGAAAUAGAGACUUUUCCAAGUUUGACUGCUAGUAAAUUUAAGAAUGAGUACUACAGCUCAAGUCUUCUCAUGGUUUUACACCAUGGUGCCUGAGAAAUGGCAGAUGGGCUCCACAAAUGGAAGGAUGAAAGAGUGAAAGAAGAGAGGAAGCUGACUAUUUGUCAUCUGUCUUGGUCUUGGACAUCAUCUCAUCCUGAUCAUCAGGCGGUGGCUGCAUCUCCUUCAAGACACCAGCUUCCAGUCACAUGACUCUGACCCCUGAGUUCCCAUAGCAUU
rnacentral:lncRNA from 1 species